CGCCUGGGGAGUACGGCCGCAAGGUUAAAACUCAAAUGAAUUGACGGGGGCCCGCACAAGCGGUGGAGCAUGUGGUUUAAUUCGACGCAACGCGAAGAACCUUACCUGGCCUUGACAUCCAGAGAGCUUUCCAGAGAUGGAUUGGUGCCUUCGGGAACUCUGAGACAGGUGCUGCAUGGCCGUCGUCAGCUCGUGUCGUGAGAUGUUGGGUUAAGUCCCGUAACGAGCGCAACCCCUAUCCCUGGUUGCUAGCAGGUAAUGCUGAGAACUCCAGGGAGACUGCCGGUGACAAACCGGAGGAAAGUGGGGAUGACGUCAGGUCAUCAUGGCCCUUACGGCCAGGGCUACACACGUGCUACAAUGGCGCGUACAGAGGGCUGCCAACUCGCGAGAGUGAGCCAAUCCCUUAAAACGCGUCGUAGUCCGGAUCGGAGUCUGCAACUCGACUCCGUGAAGUCGGAAUCGCUAGUAAUCGCGAGUCAGAAUGUCGCGGUGAAUACGUUCCCGGGCCUUGUACACACCGCCCGUCACACCAUGGGAGUGGAUUGCACCAGAAGUAGUUAGUCUAACCUUCGGGAGGACGAUUACCACGGUGUGGUUCAUGACUGGGGUGAAGUCGUAACAAGGUAACCGUA
rnacentral:rRNA from 1 species